rnacentral:rRNA from 1 species
GACGAACGCUGGCGGCGUGCUUAACACAUGCAAGUCGAACGGAAAGGCCCAGCUUGCUGGGUGCUCGAGUGGCGAACGGGUGAGUAACACGUGGGUGAUCUGCCCCUAACUUCGGGAUAAGCUUGGUAAACUGGGUCUAAUACCGGAUAGGACAAUCGUUUAGUGUCGGUUGUGGAAAGUUUUUUCGGUUAGGGAUGAGCCCGCGGCCUAUCAGCUUGUUGGUGGGGUAAUGGCCUACCAAGGCGUCGACGGGUAGCCGGCCUGAGAGGGUGGACGGCCACAUUGGGACUGAGAUACGGCCCAGACUCCUACGGGAGGCAGCAGUGGGGAAUAUUGCACAAUGGGCGCAAGCCUGAUGCAGCGACGCCGCGUGGGGGAUGACGGCCUUCGGGUGGUAAACCUCUUUCGACAGGGACGAAGCUUUGGUGACGGUACCUGUAUAAGAAGCACCGGCUAACUACGU